CUUUAACAGGCAGGAGUCUUACAAGUAUUUUUUAUUUAAUUAUUUCUGACAUAUCUUUGUCCUCCCUACUCUAAAGUAACUAUGCUUUCCUCUCCUUGCCCCAAUAUUCCACCUUAUUCCUAGCUAUCAUAACCUUAUUGUCUUUAUUUGCUUUUUGAUUUUCAAGCUAAUAAUGUUGUAAUGAUUAUGUUCAUUUGAAUUUCUGUGAUUAUUACAUUGCUUUGUAUUAUUGCUUAUCUUCUCUCCAUCAAGUAUUUUCAAGGAAUUUGACAAGGGAAGAGGACCAGUGCUGACCAAGUGAAGAAAAAGAAGAGUCUAUUGCCAAGCUUUGUACAGCAGCCAAUAUCUGAUUAAGGAGUGGAAGAUGAGACUGAUCUCAAUCAGUUAACAAGAAUGUGGAAAGUAAGGACUUACUACUGUCUAACCUAAACAUUGAUGGCAGGCGGUUAUGCUGGCAUUGAUCCUGUUUCCAAAAGCAGAUCAACAUGAUUCCUCAAGACUCCAAAGAGAUCAACUAUGGGACCUGAAAAUAAAGGCAGACUGCCAUCAAUUUCAUGUUUCUUUGAUAGCAGACAAAUAUGCUUCAACAAUAGUGCAGAGAGUAAUUUAAGGUUUGGACUGCAAGUGAUGGACACACUAAAUAACUCAACUCAAAGAAUUCAAUGGAUAGUGCUGAGUACAUUAUUAUAUAUCUACAAAGUGAUGGGCACACUAAAUAGCUUAACUGACAGAAUUCAAUGGACCGUGCUGAGAACAUUGUUAUAUAUCUACAAAGUGAUGGACACACUAAAUAGCUUAACUGACAGAAUUCAAUGGACCGUGCUGAGUACAUUGUUAUCUACAAAGUGAUGGACACACUAAAUAGCUUAACUCACAGAAUCCAAUGGACAGAGUUGAGUAUGUACUAAUAUCUACAAAGUGAUGGACACAGUAAACAGCUUAAUUCUCAGGAUUCAGUGUACCAUGCUGAGUACAU